GACGAAGGGGGCUAGCGUUGUUCGGAAUUACUGGGCGUAAAGCGCGUGUAGGCGGUUAUCCAAGUCGGGGGUGAAAGCCUUGAGCUCAACUCAAGAAAUGCACUCGGUACUGGGUGACUAGAGGACCGGAGAGGAUAGUGGAAUUCCCAGUGUAGUGGUGAAAUUCGUAGAUAUUCGGAAGAACACCAGUGGCGAAGGCGGCUCACUGGCCCGGUACUGACGCUGAGGUGCGAAAGCGUGGGGAGCGAACAGG
rnacentral:rRNA from 1 species